rnacentral:lncRNA from 10 species
CUCUCCUUACCUGCGUCCUCGGGGGCGUGCGCACCACCCCCCCUCCCGCCUAGGAGGGGGGAGGGCCCCCUCUUGGCCACCGCCUUCGCGGCCUUUAAACUCCCCUGGAGACUGCGGCUACUGCCACCGCCUUGCCUCCACUGCCUCUUCGCGCAGCACACAGAUGCGGACGGUGGGUGGGAAAAAGGGCAGACGCUACUCCCAGCGAACCGCCGCUGCCGCUCCCGAGGCCUCACCAAAAUGGCCGCCGCCGUCUCGGCCGCCACCACCACCACUACCACCACCACUCGCUCGGAAUCGCUAUCGCCGGCGCGGCCCGUCUUCUCGCGAGAGACAGUAACUGGAGGAUCACCCAGUAAGCUGCAGCAAGUUAGCAGUGGAACCUGGGCCUCCCGAUUCCCAUGGCAGCCCACUUCUGUAGCGCUGCUUCGUUUUACGCGAGGAUGGUUUCCUGAUAGCUUUCAAACACCUUUGCCAUCUCUUCGCAAACUUUCUAGAUUAAGAAUCCCUUUGAGAAUCUGAUACCUUUACCCCAGAAUAGAACAAUAAAUAACAGCUACCUUCUACUGACACUACUUGGUGCCUUGAUUAUUUCUUUUAAUCCUAACUGCUCCAUUUUACAAACGAAUUGAGGCUCAGGCGUUAAAACACAGUGACAGAUCCUGAAGUCAAGAUUCCUAGCCAAGCAGUCUAAGCCACAAGAAUGCACUCGCUGUCAUAAAAUUUUACCACCUAAAGCCCCCGCUAAGAGGCCAGGUUAGGAAGCCCUGAUGAAGCUCCCCUUCCUCCAUUCAGUUUAGCUCUUCCCUGCGAAGAGGAUUGUUGGUCCCAUUUUACAGAUGAAGUUUGGGUUGAAAGAAAAGUGGAUGAUGCCCAUCUUUUCUAGACCCUCCUCCCAUCACCCCCAGAAGAGGGGAUCCCAGGCCAGAGCCUGAAUUGGACCUAGCCUUGUGCCAUUAACUCCUUGCUAUGUGACCUUGAGCAAUUAACUUCACCUUUCUGAGCUUCAGUUUCCUCUGUAAAGUGAGGAUAGAAUUGCUGAUGUAAAAUUGCUUUGAAAGAUCUAAAGGGCCAGGUGCGGUGGCUCACACCUGUAACCCCAGCACUUUGGGAGGCCAAGGCAGGAGGAUCACUUGAGGCCAGGAGCUCAAGACCAGCCUGGGUAACAUAGUGAGACGUCGUCUCUACAGUAAAUUAAAAAUUUUAAAAUUAUGAAAAAAUAAAAAAGCUCUAAAGGACUACCUAAAUGUGGAGUAUAUUUCACUAUAGUUCAGUGUUUCACACCCAUGAUCUUAAGGUCAAGGUUAGCUUUCUGAUGUGCUUUACAUAGUAUUUAUUUAUGUAUUCAUUUGUUGAGAUAGUCUUGCUCUGUCACCCAGGCCGGAGUGCAAUGGCACAAUCUUGGCUCCCUGCAGCCUCUGUCUCCCGGGCUCAAGCAAUUCUCAUGGCUCACCCUCCCAAGUAGCUGGGAUUACAGGUGUGCACCACCACACUCAGCUAAUUUUUGUAUUUUUGGUAGAGACAGGGUUUCACCAUGUUGCCCAGGCUGCUCUCAAACUCCUGACCUCAGGUGAUCCACCUACCUUAGCCUCCCAAAGUGCUGUGACUACAGGUGUGAGCCACCGCCCCCAGCUGCUUUAUAUAGUUUGUUUUUUGUUUUUCGUUUUUUGUUUUUAGAGACAGAGUCUCGCUCUUUACCCCAAGCUGGAGUGCAGUGUCACGAUCUCUGCUCACUGCAACCUCUGCCUCCCGGGUUCAAGCAAUUCUUAUGCCUCAGCCUCCCAAGUAGCUGGGAUUACAGGCACUGGCCACCAUGCCCAACUAAUUUUUGUAUUUUUAAUAGAGCCGGGGUUUCUUUUUUUUUUUUUUUUUUUUUUUUGAGACGGAGUCUUGCUCUGUCCCCCAGGCUGGAGUUCAGUGGCUCAAUCUCGGCUCACUGCAAG